rnacentral:rRNA from 1 species
UAGGGAAUCUUCCGCAAUGGACGCAAGUCUGACGGAGCAACGCCGCGUGAGUGAAGAAGGUUUUCGGAUCGUAAAACUCUGUUGUAAGAGAAGAACAAAUUGUAGAGUAACUGCUACAGUCUUGACGGUAUCUUACCAGAAAGCCACGGCUAACUACGUGCCAGCAGCCGCGGUAAUACGUAGGUGGCAAGCGUUGUCCGGAUUUAUUGGGCGUAAAGGGGGCGCAGGCUGCUUCUUAAGUCUGAUGUGAAAGCGUGAGGCUUAACCUCAUUAAGCACUUGAAACUGAUAGACUUGAGUGAAGGAGAGGAAAGUGGAAUUCCUAGUGUAGCGGUGAAAUGCGUAGAUAUUAGGAGGAAUACCGGUGGCGAAGGCGACUUUCUGGACUUUUACUGACGCUCAGGUACGAAAGCGUGGGGAGCAAACAGG